CUUAGAGUUUGAUCCUGGCUCAGGAUGAACGCUGGCGGUAUGCUUAACACAUGCAAGUCGAACGGUGUCUUCGGACAUAGUGGCGGACGGGUGAGUAACGCGUGAGAAUCUAGCUUCAGGUCUGGGACAACCACUGGAAACGGUGGCUAAUACCGGAUGUGCCGGAAGGUGAAAGGCUUGCUGCCUGAAAAUGACCUCGCGUCCGAUUACCUAGUAGGUGGGGUAAGAGCCUACCUAGGCGACGAUCGGUAGCUGGUCUGAGAGGAUGACCACCCACGGUGGGAAUGAGAAGCGGCCCAAACUCCUACGGGAGGCAGCAGUGGGGAAUUUUCCGCAAUGGGCGAAAGCCUGACGGAGCAAUACCGCGUGAGGGAGGAAGGCUCUUGGGUUGUAAACCUCUUUUCUCAGGGAAGAACACAAUGACGGUACCUGAGGAAUCAGCAUCGGCUAACUCCGUGCCAGCAGCCGCGGUAAUACGGAGGAUGCAAGCGUUAUCCGGAAUGAUUGGGCGUAAAGCGUCCGCAGGUGGCUGUGUAAGUCUGCUGUCAAAGAGCAAAGCUCAACUUUGUAAAGGCAGUGGAAACUACACGGCUAGAGUGCGUUCGGGGCAGAGGGAAUUCCUGGUGUAGCGGUGAAAUGCGUAGAGAUCAGGAAGAACACCGGUGGCGAAGGCGCUCUGCUAGGCCGCAACUGACACUGAGGGACGAAAGCUAGGGGAGCGAAAAAGAUUAGAUACCCCAGUAGUCCUAGCUGUAAACG
rnacentral:rRNA from 1 species